rnacentral:rRNA from 1 species
AUUGAACGCUGGCGGCAGGCCUAACACAUGCAAGUCGAACGAGUGGCGGACGGGUGAGUAAUGUCUGGGAAACUGCCCGAUGGAGGGGGAUAACUACUGGAAACGGUAGCUAAUACCGCAUACCAUCGGAUGUGCCCAGAUGGGAUUUGCUAGUGGGUGGGGUAGCGGCUCACCUAGGCGACGAUCCCUAGCUGGUCUGAGAGGAUGACCAGCCACACUGCAACUGAGACACGGUCCAGACUACUACGGGAGGCAGCAGUGGGGAAUAUUGCACAAUGGGAGGAAGCCUGAUGCAGCCAUGCCGCGUGUAUGAAGAGGGCCUGCGGGUUGGAAAGUACUUUCAGCGAGGAGGCGUUACUCGCAGAAGAAGCACCGGCUAACUCCGUGCCAGCAGCCGCGGUAAUUC